AAUAGAUACCCCGGGUAGUCCACGCCGUAAACGGAUGAGUGCUAAGUGUUAGAGGGUUUCCGCCCUUUAGUGCUGCAGCGUAACGCAUUAAGCACUCCGCCUGGGAAGUACGGUCGCAAGACUGAAACUCAAAGGAAUUGACGGGGGCCCGCACAAGCGGUGGAGCAUGUGGUUUAAUUCGAAGCAACGCGAAGAACCUUACCAGGUCUUGACAUCCUCUGACAACUCUAGAGAUAGAGCGUUCCCCUUCGGGGGACAGAGUGACAGGUGGUGCAUGGUUGUCGUCAGCUCGCGUCGUGAGAUGUUGGGUUAAGUCCCGCAACGAGCGCAACCCUUGAUCUUAGUUGCCAGCAUUUAGUUGGGCACUCUAAGGUGACUGCCGGUGACAAACCGGAGGAAGGUGGGGAUGACGUCAAAUCAUCAUGCCCCUUAUGACCUGGGCUACACACGUGCUACAAUGGAUGGUACAAAGGGCUGCAAGACCGCGAGGUCAAGCCAAUCCCAUAAAACCAUUCUCAGUUCGGA
rnacentral:rRNA from 1 species